rfam:Mogibacterium pumilum strain ATCC 700696 genome.
UAAGUUCUGGGAUAUGCGUUGUGUAUCAUUAAUUGAACCUACACUACUUGCACGGGAUUCCGAGUUCGCUGCUAGGCGAUAUGCUAUGCUGAUAUGGCAGACAAUUAGAAAUUACUGAAUAGCGACAGGAAGUACCCACCUUAUCAUUCGAUAGGGCGUCAAUUAAUAGCAUGACGGUAUUUCGGAUCUUUU